GGGACCUAAGCCGAGGCCGAAAGGCGUAGGCGAUGGACAACAGGUUGAGAUUCCUGUACUCGUUUGUUUUGUUUGAACAAUGGAGGGACGCAGGAGGUUACAGAAGCGCACUGUUGGAUAUGUGCGUACAAGCAACAAGUCUUGGAGUGAGUCAAAUGCUUACUCCUUUAAGGAUGAGUUGUGAUGUGUAGGGAAAUAAAGUACCGAAGUUCUAAUAUCACAC
rnacentral:ncRNA from 1 species